UACGGGGGGGGUAAGCGUUGUUCGGAAUUACUGGGCGUAAAGGGCUCGUAGGCGGCCAACUAAGUCAUACGUGAAAUCCCUCAGCUUAACUGGGGAACUGCGUGUGAUACUGGAUGGCUUGGAUUUGGGAGAGGGAUGCGGAAUUCCAGGUGUAGCGGUGAAAUGCGUAGAUAUCUGGAGGAACACCGGUGGCGAAGGCGGCAUCCUGGACCGACAUUGACGCUGAGGCGCGAAAGCUAGGGGAGCAAACGGG
rnacentral:rRNA from 1 species